UCCGCUGAUGACCAAAAAUCAUUAAAUUUACAAACUAGAGUUUCUGAAUCCUUUUAUGAUUAGAAAUUGACUAUUCGAGCUGAGG
rnacentral:snoRNA from 1 species